rnacentral:pre_miRNA from 1 species
UUAAUGUAAAAUUGUAUGGAGUUGGAAUGUUUGCUUAUGCUUGUAGCUAGUUAGCUAGGGGCGCUGUUCCAACUGCAUACAAAUUUGAGUUA